UAAGGAAUAUUGGUCAAUGGACGCAAGACUGAUCCAGCCAUGCCGCGUGCGGGAGGACGGCCCUAUGGGUUGUAAACUGCUUUUGUACCAGAGAAAACCUAUCUACGUGUAGAUAGCUGAUAGUAUGGUAAGAAUAAGCAUCGGCUAACUUCGUGCCAGCAGCCGCGGUAAGGCGAAGGAUGCAAGCGUUAUCCGGAUUCAAUGGGUUUAAAGGGUGCGUAGGCGGGCUUGUAAGUCAGUGGUGAAAUCUCUCAGCUUAACUGAGAAACUGCCAUUGAUACUGCAGGCCUAGAGUAUAGAUGACGUUGGCGGAAUAUGACAUGUAGUGGUGAAAUACUUAGAUAUGUCAUAGAACACCGAUUUCGAAGGCAGCUAACGAAACUAUAACUGACGCUGAGGCACGAAAGUGCGGGGAUCAAACA
rnacentral:rRNA from 1 species